rnacentral:lncRNA from 1 species
GGGAACAGGCCUGGAGAGUGAGGGCCACAGGCCGCCCCUCAUGCCUCUGGCCCCUCAUCAGAGCAGGCCUGGGUGUGUCCAAUAUUCAGACCCUUUGAUGCAAGAAUUGCAUUUAAAUACAUCUCAGGUAAAGAAUAAUGAGGAGGGAGGGCAGAGAUUUAUUCACAAGCAUCCUCAUCACAUCAAUAGUUGAUAAAAAUAGGAAAUAGCACCAGUAUCCAAAAGCUAGCAAUACAACCAUUUAAAAUGAAGUUUCCAAAGGUUUUUUUUUUAAGACAUGGAGAAACGGGGGAAAAAUUAUGAAAAUCAUAUGGUAGAGAGCUACAGUUUUAAAACAGAUGAGAUGAAUGUACAGCACACUAGGAUGCUAAAAGUGGUUAUUCUGGACUGUGGGAAUUUGAUUUUUUUUUUUUUUCCUCCCUUGUAUUUCUCUCUCUUCUUAAUGAUGAGCAAUCAGGAAAUAAGUUUAACUGCUGAGUUACAACAGUUAACAGUUGAGGUGGAGCAGGAUAGGGAAAACGUCUCGAGCUCACAACUGCCAGACUUGAACUUCACAAGGUUGGACAUCGUGUGGGCCAUCUUGUGUGUUGCUUCAGCCCAGCCCCGAAGCUCAGCCCUUUUCAUCAAGAUGGAACCUCAAAAGUGGUACCAAACCCAAGACAGUCGUAAAUACAGUUGGGGCUUUACAAAACAGGCAUGAGACUUUUGACAUUAAUCAAAGUGGAAACUAAACUGGCUCCAGCCCCAAGUUCCAGGACAGCAGAGAAAGCAAACAUUAGGGCUGCAGCUUGAACACUUGGCCUCAGUUCCCUUCUGCAAAGGACUGAAUAAGACUCUUGAUACGCAAAAAGGAGUUUUAUUUCCUUGUGCAAAAAAGACAUUUCAAGUCAGGCUAGUCAGUCACAUUUGGGUGAGUCCUUCUCACACAGAAAACGGGGGUAGAAGAGGUACUUGAUGGUGUACUCGGUUUGGGCUAAGCAGUAAGCAACCGCCUGGUCACACUUGCACAUGAGUUCUUGACAUUUGUCCUGCGCUGGUCCUAGAAGAAGUGGGGAGAGUGAGGUUAAGGCAGGGACUUGCAGUGACCUGAGGAUAAACCAGUCAAGCUGGAGGCAAGAGGGCCAUAAAUUGCAUCCGGGUGACAGUUCCGAUGUGAUCUCCAUCAUCGAGGCAAGUCCAGAGGGAGGAGAUGUCUGCCCCAAUUUUACAGAAAAGGAAAUUGAAGUUGCCAGGGAAGUGCUUUCAGAUGGAAGUCCCAAGUCCAUAUGCCUUUUGGCUUCUGCAUCAGUAUUAAACCCUUGCAUGUGAGGAUCCGUUUAGAUAAGCAGUAGACGCCUGGGAACCAUCAGGCUUUUUUGGAACAUCUGCUUUGCUCCUUCCUAGCUGCGUGAUCUUAUCUGAACGUUCUGAGCCAAGCCCUCGCUUAGAUGGGGACACUGUCCACUUUGCAGUCUCUUGCAGAUGCUCCUUCAAGAAAAGAGCUUAUUCCCGCAGCCAAUAUAAUAAAUACCCCAACGGUGAAAAGCUGAAAGCCUUCCAGAUAAAAUCUGGAAGAAGACAAGGAUGCCGACUUUCAAUGCUUCUAUUCAACAAUGGAUUGGAAGUCCUAGCCAUAGCAACCAGUCAAGAAAAAGAAAAGGUAUCCAAACUGGAAGAGAAUAGGUAAAAUCGUCCCUAUAUGCAGAUGACAUGAUACUAUCUAAAAAAAACUCGUUUUCAGUAACAAUCCUGUAUUCCAUCUCUCCCUUCCAUCCUGGCCCUGCCUUACACAGAGACAUAAAGGUUGCCAUCCAAAGAU